rnacentral:rRNA from 1 species
GGUAGGCUCCACCACCCAACAGUCCAUGUGACGAGACCAGUCGCAAGUCUUGAGACAUAGAAGAGGUUCUUUCUUCUUCACUCUUAUGACUUCCGACUGUUCUUCGAACAGUCGCUCUUUAACAAUGUAAUCCUGCUGACAGUUCCUUUCGAAAGAAAGGACAUGAGAUACGUCUCAAGCGUAUCCGGCAAUUGUCGUUGAGUCAUCGCGACCAGACUCCUUCGGGUUAUAUGGUCAAGCGAUGAAGCGCACACGGUGGAUGCCUAGGCAGCCAGAGGCGAUGAAGGACGUGGAAGCCUGCGAUAAGGCUCGGCGAGGUGGCAAACAACCUGCGACCCGGGCAUUUCCGAAUGGGGAAACCCACCCAUCGCAAGAUGGGUAUCGUUGACUGAAUCCAUAGGUCAACGAGGCGAACCGGGGGAACUGAAACAUCUCAGUACCCCGAGGAAAAGAAAUCAACCGAGAUUCCCCCAGUAGCGGCGAGCGACCGGGGAGUAGCCCUUAAGCAGGUGAUUGAUUAGGCGAACGAGCUGGGAAGCUCGACGAUACAGGGUGAUAGUCCCGUAGCCGAAAAUCUGAUCCUGUGAAAUCGAGUAGGUCGGGGCACGUGAAACCUUGACUGAAGACGGGGGGACCAUCCUCCAAGGCUAAAUACUCCUGGCUGACCGAUAGUGAACCAGUACCGUGAGGGAAAGGCGAAAAGAACCCCGGAGAGGGGAGUGAAAUAGAUCCUGAAACCGUGUGCGUACAAGCAGUGGGAGCAGGCAGGUCCUGUGACCGCGUACCUUUUGUAUAAUGGGUCAGCGACUUAUUUUCAGUGGCGAGCUUAACCGAUUAGGGGAGGCGUAGAGAAAUCGAGUCUUAACUGGGCGACCAGUCGCUGGAAAUAGACCCGAAACCGGGCGAUCUAUCCAUGAGCAGGUUGAAGGUUGAGUAACAUCAACUGGAGGACCGAACCAGGAUCUGUUGAAAAAGAUUUGGAUGACUUGUGGAUCGGAGUGAAAGGCUAAUCAAGCCCGGAGAUAGCUGGUUCUCCUCGAAAGCUAUUUAGGUAGCGCCUCACGUAUCACCGCCGGGGGUAGAGCACUGUUUCGGCUAGGGGGCCAUCCCGGCUUACCAACCCGAGGCAAACUCCGAAUACCGGUGAGUGCAAGCGUGGGAGACACACAGCGGGUGCUAACGUCCGUUGUGAAAAGGGAAACAACCCAGACCGUCAGCUAAGGUCCCGAAAUCCUGGUUAAGUGGGAAACGAUGUGGGAAGGCUUAGACAGCUAGGAGGUUGGCUUAGAAGCAGCCAUCCUUUAAAGAAAGCGUAAUAGCUCACUAGUCGAGUCGGCCUGCGCGGAAGAUGUAACGGGGCUCAAACCAGGUACCGAAGCUACGGGUUCAUCCUCUGGAUGAGCGGUAGAGGAGCGUCGUGUACGCCGAUGAAGGUGAGUCGAAAGGCUUGCUGGAGGUAUCACGAGUGCGAAUGCUGACAUGAGUAACGAUAAGGGGAGUGAAAAACUCCCCCGCCGGAAGACCAAGGGUUUCUGUUCGACGCUAAUCGGAGCAGAGUGAGUCGGCCCCUAAGGCGAGGCCGAAAGGCGUAGUCGAUGGGAAACGGGUCAAUAUUCCCGUACCUCACUGUAUUGCGAUGGGGGGACGAAGAAGGCUAGGUGAGCCAGGCGUUGGUUGUCCUGGUGAAAGUCAGUAGGCUGGGGAAUCAGGCAAAUCCGGUUCCCCAAGGCCGAGAGACGAGACGAACAGACUACGGUCUGGAAGUCAUUGAUGCCACGCUUCCAGGAAAAGCCUCUAAGCUUCAGAUACAGUGGGACCGUACCCCAAACCGACACAGGUGGUCAGGGUGAGAAUCCCAAGGCGCUUGAGAGAACUCGGGUGAAGGAACUAGGCAAAAUGGUGCCGUAACUUCGGGAGAAGGCACGCCGCCGUUACGUGAAGGCCCUCGCGGCUGGAGCGGAAGGCGGUCGAAGAUACCAGGUGGCUGCAACUGUUUAUUAAAAACACAGUACUCUGCAAACGCGUAAGCGGACGUAUAGGGUAUGACGCCUGCCCGGUGCCGGAAGGUUAAUUGAUGGUGUUAGCGUAAGCGAAGCUCCUGAUCGAAGCCCCGGUAAACGGCGGCCGUAACUAUAACGGUCCUAAGGUAGCGAAAUUCCUUGUCGGGUAAGUUCCGACCUGCACGAAUGGCGUAAUGAUGGCCACGCUGUCUCCACCCGAGACUCAGUGAAAUUGAAAUCGCAGUGAAGAUGCUGUGUACCCGCGGCUAGACGGAAAGACCCCGUGAACCUUUACUACAGCUUCACACUGGACGCUGAUGUUGCUUGUGUAGGAUAGCUGGGAGGCUUUGAAACGGUAGCGCCAGCUACCGUGGAGCCAACCUUGAAAUACCAGCCUGGCAUCAUUGGCGUUCUAACUCAGGUCCGUUAUCCGGAUCGAGGACCGUGUGUGGUGGGUAGUUUGACUGGGGCGGUCUCCUCCCAAAGUGUAACGGAGGAGCACGAAGGUACCCUCAGCACGGUCGGAAAUCGUGCAAUGAGUGCAAGAGCAUAAGGGUGCUUAACUGCGAGACAGACACGUCGAGCAGAUACGAAAGUAGGUUCUAGUGAUCCGGUGGUUCUGUAUGGAAGGGCCAUCGCUCAACGGAUAAAAGGUACUCCGGGGAUAACAGGCUGAUACCGCCCAAGAGUUCACAUCGACGGCGGUGUUUGGCACCUCGAUGUCGGCUCAUCACAUCCUGGGGCUGAAGUCGGUCCCAAGGGUAUGGCUGUUCGCCAUUUAAAGUGGUACGCGAGCUGGGUUUAGAACGUCGUGAGACAGUUCGGUCCCUAUCUGCCGUGGGCGUUGGAGAUUUGAGAAGUGCUGCUCCUAGUACGAGAGGACCGGAGUGGACGACCCUCUGGUGUACCGGUUGUCACGCCCGUGGCAUUGCCGGGUAGCUAAGGUCGGACGGGAUAACCGCUGAAAGCAUCUAAGCGGGAAGCCUCCUUCAAGAUGAGAUCUCCCCGAGGCCUCGAGCCUCCUGAAGGGUCCAGCAAGACGAGCUGGUUGAUAGGCCGGAUGUGGAAGCGCUGCAAGGCGUUGAGCUGACCGGUACUAAUGGCCCGUGAGGCUUGACCAUAUAACACCCAAGGAGUCUGGAUGACAGACGACGCCGGGUACGCACGAGACGUAUCGUCAGCAGGAUUGCAUUGACUUUUUCGCCUGACGACCAUAGCGAGUGGGCACCACCUGAUCCCAUGCCGAACUCAGCAGUGAAACCGCUCAGCGCCGAUGGUAGUGUGGGAGUUCCCAUGCGAGAGUAGGUCAUCGUCAGGCACUUACAUGAAAAAUCCCCCGGUACUCCCGGGGGAUUUUUUUAUUAGGUCAUCGUCAGGCACUUACAUGAAAAAUCCCCCGGUACUCCCGGGGGAUUUUUUUAU